rnacentral:rRNA from 1 species
GAGUUUGAUCGUGGCUCAGAUUGAACGCUGGCGGCAUGCCUAACACAUGCAAGUCGAACGGUAACGCGGGGGCAACCCUGGCGACGAGUGGCGGACGGGUGAGUAAUACGUAGGAAUCUGCCCAUUAGUGGGGGACAACCCGGCGAAAGCCGGGCUAAUACCGCAUACGCUCUACGGAGGAAAACGGGGGAUCGUAAGACCUCGUGCUAAUGGAUGAGCCUACGUCGGAUUAGCUAGUUGGUAGGGUAACGGCCUACCAAGGCGACGAUCCGUAGCUGGUCUGAGAGGACGAUCAGCCACACUGGGACUGAGACACGGCCCAGACUCCUACGGGAGGCAGCAGUGGGGAAUAUUGGACAAUGGGGGCAACCCUGAUCCAGCAAUGCCGCGUGUGUGAAGAAGGCCUGCGGGUUGUAAAGCACUUUCAGAGGGGAAGAAAAAGCGGAGCUAACAUCUCCGUUCUUGACGUUACCCUUAGAAGAAGCACCGGCUAACUCCGUGCCAGCAGCCGCGGUAAC